UUUUGUUCUUAUACAUUUAAAUAUUAUAAAUUCUUUUUUUGAGAUAAUGGUAACAUGCUAAUGUUUCGAUCAUUUUUUAAUAAAAAUAAACUUAGCUGAAAAUGUGAAGCAACUAGACUUCAACUUUAGAACCUCGGGUACAAACUUUCAAGCUCUUUACUAUCUAUGUUAGGAAUGAUCGAUAACAGUAUAAAAAUAUUCGAUCCGAUAUUGUUAUGCUUAUAUAAAAUAACUGUCACAUAGAAGGCUUUCUCAAUG
rnacentral:lncRNA from 1 species